GGUCAAGUGAAGAAGCGCAUACGGUGGAUGCCUUGGCAGUCAGAGGCGAUGAAAGACGUGGUAGCCUGCGAAAAGCUUCGGGGAGUCGGCAAACAGACUUUGAUCCGGAGAUCUCUGAAUGGGGGAACCCACCUAGGAUAACCUAGGUAUCUUGUACUGAAUCCAUAGGUGCAAGAGGCGAACCAGGGGAACUGAAACAUCUAAGUACCCUGAGGAAAAGAAAUCAACCGAGAUUCCCUUAGUAGUGGCGAGCGAACGGGGAUUAGCCCUUAAGCUUCAUUGAUUUUAGCGGAACGCUCUGGAAAGUGCGGCCAUAGUGGGUGAUAGCCCCGUACGCGAAAGGAUCUUUGAAGUGAAAUCGAGUAGGACGGAGCACGAGAAACUUUGUCUGAACAUGGGGGGACCAUCCUCCAAGGCUAAAUACUACUGACUGACCGAUAGUGAACCAGUACCGUGAGGGAAAGGCGAAAAGAACCCCGGAGAGGGGAGUGAAAUAGAACCUGAAACCGUAUGCGUACAAGCAGUGGGAGCCUACUUGUUAGGUGACUGCGUACCUUUUGUAUAAUGGGUCAGCGACUUAUAUUCAGUGGCAAGCUUAACCGUAUAGGGUAGGCGUAGCGAAAGCGAGUCUUAAUAGGGCGUUUAGUCGCUGGGUAUAGACCCGAAACCGGGCGAUCUAUCCAUGAGCAGGUUGAAGGUUAGGUAACACUGACUGGAGGACCGAACCCACUCCCGUUGAAAAGGUAGGGGAUGACUUGUGGAUCGGAGUGAAAGGCUAAUCAAGCUCGGAGAUAGCUGGUUCUCCUCGAAAGCUAUUUAGGUAGCGCCUCAUGUAUCACUCUGGGGGGUAGAGCACUGUUUCGGCUAGGGGGUCAUCCCGACUUACCAAACCGAUGCAAACUCCGAAUACCCAGAAGUGCCGAGCAUGGGAGACACACGGCGGGUGCUAACGUCCGUCGUGAAAAGGGAAACAACCCAGACCGCCAGCUAAGGUCCCAAAGUUGUGGUUAAGUGGUAAACGAUGUGGGAAGGCUUAGACAGCUAGGAGGUUGGCUUAGAAGCAGCCAUCCUUUAAAGAAAGCGUAAUAGCUCACUAGUCGAGUCGGCCUGCGCGGAAGAUGUAACGGGGCUCAAACCACACACCGAAGCUGCGGGUGUCACGUAAGUGACGCGGUAGAGGAGCGUUCUGUAAGCCUGUGAAGGUGAGUUGAGAAGCUUGCUGGAGGUAUCAGAAGUGCGAAUGCUGACAUGAGUAACGACAAUGGGUGUGAAAAACACCCACGCCGAAAGACCAAGGGUUCCUGCGCAACGUUAAUCGACGCAGGGUUAGUCGGUUCCUAAGGCGAGGCUGAAAAGCGUAGUCGAUGGGAAACAGGUUAAUAUUCCUGUACUUCUGGUUACUGCGAUGGAGGGACGGAGAAGGCUAGGCCAGCUUGGCGUUGGUUGUCCAAGUUUAAGGUGGUAGGCUGAAAUCUUAGGUAAAUCCGGGGUUUCAAGGCCGAGAGCUGAUGACGAGUCGUCUUUUAGAUGACGAAGUGGUUGAUGCCAUGCUUCCAAGAAAAGCUUCUAAGCUUCAGGUAACCAGGAACCGUACCCCAAACCGACACAGGUGGUCGGGUAGAGAAUACCAAGGCGCUUGAGAGAACUCGGGUGAAGGAACUAGGCAAAAUGGCACCGUAACUUCGGGAGAAGGUGCGCCGGCUAGGGUGAAGGAUUUACUCCGUAAGCUCUGGCUGGUCGAAGAUACCAGGCCGCUGCGACUGUUUAUUAAAAACACAGCACUCUGCAAACACGAAAGUGGACGUAUAGGGUGUGACGCCUGCCCGGUGCCGGAAGGUUAAUUGAUGGGGUUAGCGCAAGCGAAGCUCUUGAUCGAAGCCCCGGUAAACGGCGGCCGUAACUAUAACGGUCCUAAGGUAGCGAAAUUCCUUGUCGGGUAAGUUCCGACCUGCACGAAUGGCGUAACGAUGGCGGCGCUGUCUCCACCCGAGACUCAGUGAAAUUGAAAUCGCUGUGAAGAUGCAGUGUAUCCGCGGCUAGACGGAAAGACCCCGUGAACCUUUACUGUAGCUUUGCACUGGACUUUGAGCCUGCUUGUGUAGGAUAGGUGGGAGGCUUUGAAGCGUGGACGCCAGUUCGCGUGGAGCCAUCCUUGAAAUACCACCCUGGCAUGCUUGAGGUUCUAA
rnacentral:rRNA from 1 species